GAUGAACGCUGGCGGCGUGCCUAAUACAUGCAAGUCGAGCGAACAGACGAGGAGCUUGCUCCUUUGACGUUAGCGGCGGACGGGUAAGUAACACGUGGGUAACCUACCUAUAAGACUGGGAUAACUUCGGGAAACCGGAGCUAAUACCGGAUAAUAUUUCGAACCGCAUGGUUCGAUAGUGAAAGAUGGCUUUGCUAUCACUUAUAGAUGGACCUGCGCCGUAUUAGCUAGUUGGUAAGGUAACGGCUUACCAAGGCAACGAUACGUAGCCGACCUGAGAGGGUGAUCGGCCACACUGGAACUGAGACACGGUCCAGACUCCUACGGGAGGCAGCAGUAGGGAAUCUUCCGCAAUGGGCGAAAGCCUGACGGAGCAACGCCGCGUGAGUGAUGAAGGUCUUCGGAUCGUAAAACUCUGUUAUUAGGGAAGAACAAACGUGUAAGUAACUGUGCACGUCUUGACGGUACCUAAUCAGAAAGCCACGGCUAACUACGUG
rnacentral:rRNA from 1 species